rnacentral:rRNA from 1 species
AGCCUGAUGCAGCCAUGCCGCGUGUAUGAAGAAGGCCUUCGGGUUGUAAAGUACUUUCAGCGGGGAGGAAGGUGUUGUGGUUAAUAACCGCAGCAAUUGACGUUACCCGCAGAAGAAGCACCGGCUAUUCUGAGAAUACAUACCCGGUAACAAUGCCUUUCCCGUCCUGAUACCACUCAGCCAUCAUCGCUUCAAGGUCAUCUACGGCAUCCUGCAUAGACUGUGGCUCAACAUCAGUGAGAGUUGCA